AGAGUUUGAUCCUGGCUCGAACGAACGCUGGCGGCAAGGACAUUAACAACAUGCAAGCUCGGAGGCGCACUUUUGUAAGGGAGGCGGCAGACGGGUGAGUAAAUGCGUGGGAAAACUACCUAUCACGCUGGAAUAACACAGAGAAAAUAUUGUGAUAAAUACCAUAUACGUCCGAGAGGAGAAGAGUUAUCGGUGUAGAUGUGCCCACGUUGGAUUAGCUAUGGGUAAGGUAAAUGGCUUUACCAAGGCGACGAUCCAUAGUCUGGUCAUGAGAGGAUGAUCAGCCACACUGGGACUGGAAGACACGGCCCAGACUCCUACGGGAGGCAGCAGUGGGAAUAUUGGACAAUGGGCACAGCAAGCCUGAUCCAGCCAGGUCGCGUGAGUGAUGAAUGCUUUGAAGGUUUGUAAAAGCCUCUGUCAGCCGGGAAGAUAAUGACGGUAACAGCAGGGAGAAGAAAGCCCCGGCUAACUUCGUGCCAGAAGGCCGCGUUAAGACGGAAGGAGGGCAGCUUGUUCGGAUUAUACUGGGCGUAAGCGCAGCGUAGGCGGAUAUAGUAAGUCAGAGGGUGAAAUCCCAGGGCUCAACCCUGGAACUGGCCUUUGAUGACUGGGUAUCUAGAGUAUGGAGAGGUGAGUGGAAUUCCGAGUGUAGAGGUGAAAUUCGUAGAUAUUCGGAGAACACCAGUGGUCGGAAGGCGCUCACUGGUCGCAUAGACUGACGCUGAGGGGGCGAAGCGUGGGGAGAAAGCAGGAUUAGAUACCCUGGGAAGUCGCACGCCGGGAAACGAUGAAUGUUAGUCGUCGGUAGGCUAAUAAACUUAUCGGUGACGCAGCUAGCGAAUAAACAUUCCGCCUGGGGAGUACGGUCGCAAGAGCGAAAACUCAAAGGAAAUUUGAACGGGGGCCCGCACAAGCGGUGGAGCGAUGUGGUUUAAUUCGAAGCAAGCGCGCAAGAACCUUACCAGCCCCUUGACAUUCCCGAUUUGGAGAGAUGGAGACAUGUUCCUUCAGCAGAGGCUGGAUCGGUGACAGGUGCUGCAUGGCUGUCGUCAGCUCGUGUUCGUGAGAUGUUGGGUUAAGUCAGCCGCAACGAGCGCACGCCUCGCCCUUAGUUGCCGAGCAUAAGUGAGAAUGGCAACUCUAGAGAGAGGACUGCCGGGGAUAAGCCGGAGGAAGGAAUGAGGGGAUGACGUCAAGUCAUCAUGCCCUUCGGGCUGGGCUCACACGUGCUACCAAUAGGUGGUAUAAACAAGGGCGCAGGAAUCGCGAGGAUAGAGCUAAGCUCCAAAAGCCAGCUCAGUCGGAUUGCCUCGCAACUCGAGUGCA
rnacentral:rRNA from 1 species